CCUACGGGAGGCAGCAGUGGGGAAUAUUGCACAAUGGGGGAAACCCUGAUGCAGCCAUGCCGCGUGUGUGAAGAAGGCCUUCGGGUUGUAAAGCACUUUCAGCGAGGAGGAAAGGGUGUAAGUUAAUACCUUACAUCUGUGACGUUACUCGCAGAAGAAGCACCGGCUAACUCCGUGCCAGCAGCCGCGGUAAUACGGAGGGUGCGAGCGUUAAUCGGAAUUACUGGGCGUAAAGCGUGCGCAGGCGGUUUGUUAAGCGAGAUGUGAAAGCCCCGGGCUCAACCUGGGAACCGCAUUUCGAACUGGCAAACUAGAGUCUUGUAGAGGGGGGUAGAAUUCCAGGUGUAGCGGUGAAAUGCGUAGAGAUCUGGAGGAAUACCGGUGGCGAAGGCGGCCCCCUGGACAAAGACUGACGCUCAGGCACGAAAGCGUGGGGAGCAAACAGGAUUAGAUACCCGAGUAGUC
rnacentral:rRNA from 1 species